rnacentral:rRNA from 1 species
UACGAACUGUGCAAACGUUAUUCGGAAUCACUGGGCUUACAGGGUGCGUAGGCGGCCUGACAAGUAGGGUGUGAAAGCCCCCGGCUCAACCGGGGAAUGGCGCCCUAAACUGUCGGGCUGGAGUGAGAUAGGGGUGUGCGGAACUUCCGGUGGAGCGGGUGAAAUGUGUUGAUAUCGGAAGGAACGCCGGUGGCGAAAGCGGCACACUGGAUCUCAACUGACGCUGAGGCACGAAAGCCAGGGGAGCGAACGGGG